rnacentral:rRNA from 1 species
AGAUGAAGUCAAAGUUGUAACAAGUGAACCGUAGGUGAAUCGCGGAAGGAUCAUUAACGAGUUUGAAAUCGAGAGCUGUUGCUGGUGCGGAAACGCACAUCGUGCACGGCUCCCGUGCUCAAUCCAUUUCAACCCCCUUGUGCACCUUAUCGAAGUCAGUAGUCUUUCUCUUUUUGUUUGCCGGUUGUGUGCGGGAACCUCUUUCUGUUCACUUGGCCGGCGAGGAGAAAUAGAGGGUCGAAAGCUUUGACUUUUCUGUUAAACACUUUGUAUGUCUUGUGGAACGUAUUAGCUCCUUUGUAGGGGCGAAAUAAAUACAACUUUCAACAACGGAUCUCUUGGCUCUCGCAUCGAUGAAGAACGCAGCGAAAUGCGAUAAGUAAUGUGAAUUGCAGAAUUCAGUGAAUCAUCGAAUCUUUGAACGCACCUUGCGCCCCUUGGUAUUCCGAGGGGCAUGCCUGUUUGAGUGUCAUGUUAAUCUCAAACCCCUUGUCUUUUUUGUUGACUUGGUCGGUUUGGACUUGGAGGUGUUGCUGGCGUGCGUCGGCUCCUCUUAAUUGCAUUAGCUGGACUUUGGUUCGCAUUUGACGGUGUAAUAGUAAAGUGUUCGCCGGGCGUGCUUGCCUAACGGGUCUGCUUCUAAUCGUCUUCGGACAACUCUGUUCAUUUUGACCUUGACCUCAAAUCGGGUACGACUACGCGCUGAACUUAAGCUUAUCUAUAACCGGAGGAAAAGAAACUAAAAGGGAUUCCCCUAGUAUCUGCGAGUGAAGCGCGAAGAGCUCGAAUUUAACAUCAUGUCGACUUUCUGGUCGCUCGAGUUGCAAUCUGGAGAGACACUUGUCCAGCGCUGGUACCGGCG